ACUUUAGCGCCAUCAUCUUCCGUC
rnacentral:siRNA from 1 species